AUUGAACGCUGGCGGCAUGCCUUACACAUGCAAGUCGAACGGCAGCACGGGUGCUUGCACCUGGUGGCGAGUGGCGAACGGGUGAGUAAUACAUCGGAACGUACCUUAUCGUGGGGGAUAACGCAGCGAAAGCUGUGCUAAUACCGCAUACGCCCUGAGGGGGAAAGCGGGGGAUCGCAAGACCUCGCGCGAUUAGAGCGGCCGAUGCCUGAUUAGCUUGUUGGUGGGGUAAAAGCCCACCAAGGCGACGAUCAGUAGCUGGUCUGAGAGGACGAUCAGCCACACUGGGACUGAGACACGGCCCAGACUCCUACGGGAGGCAGCAGUGGGGAAUUUUGGACAAUGGGGGCAACCCUGAUCCAGCAAUGCCGCGUGAGUGAAGAAGGCCUUCGGGUUGUAAAGCUCUUUUGUCAGGGAAGAAACACCGGCUCUAACACAGUCCGGGAAUGACGGUACCUGAAGAAUAAGCACCGGCUAACUACGUGCCAGCCGCCGCCGCGGUAA
rnacentral:rRNA from 1 species